AAAUUUGCGGGCAAUAAAGUGUCAGGUUUCAGUAAAUAUCCAGUGAUUAUAAAGAAAAGGAGGUGAAAUGUUGCACAAAAUAUUUUAUAUCCCGUUAAUAUAUUCUAGUUUGAACGGAAAUAUAACAAAGUUUCCUGAGGGAGGCCUGGACAAGAAGACUAUUAUUGAACGAGAUUAUCAAAUGGUUCAUGAAGCUUCUGAGCAAGCCCCUACUCUAGAAACAAUUGACUUCCCGCAGUUAAAAAACAAUGCAGAAGAGUCAAAUUCUAAGAGCCGAAAGCCAGAACUAAUUAUUCCAAACAGUGAAGAUAAAAAUGACGAAUUCUGUACUUGUGGAAGAAGAAAUGAAAUUCAGGCAAUUAACACAGAACGAAUAUCUGGUGGAGAAAGAAUACCAGAAAAUGUGUACCCUUGGCUUGUGAGAAUAACUGGAGGCUGUGCUGGAGACUGUGGCGGCUCAUUGAUCAGUAAUAAGUUUAUUUUGACUGCCUACCACUGCUUGCAAGCAUUUGACGAGGACGGGCGAAUAAUUCCUGGUGUGUGCAAUCAUGAAAACGGGAAAAGAAAAGCCAUUUUAGGAAUCUACAAUGGCGAAGAUUCUGAAUUUCAGAUUGUUAGAACAUUGACACAAUUUGUCUUCCCUGAAAAUCCAGGACUAAAUUUAGAGGAUACAACAAGCCAUGAUAUUGCGAUGUAUAUCCUGGCUGACCCUGUUCAGUUUUCUCCAACUAUAAGGCCAGUUUGCCUGCCCAAGUUUCAAAAUGAGGACUUGGUAGGAGUAUCAGCUGUUGCAGCUGGCUGGGGACAAUAUGGUGUGCAAAGCCCUCUUUCUGUGUAUCCCAGGGAAGUAAAUUUAAUAGUUGGAACCACCCUCACUCAUUCUAAGAUGUUUACUACUCUGGUAGAAAGGAAUGAUGAUGGCGUCUUUAAGGAAGGAUCCGUGUGCUGGAGACAGUGGGGGUCCGUUGAUGAUUAAAGAUGAGCACAAUAUCUAUACUAUUAUCGGAACAACAAGUGUAGGGGGGAGGAUAUCUGUGUGAUGCGGAUAGUCUAGUAGCAACUGUUUUGUUUGGAAUUUGAGAGAAAUCAUCAUCCUUGGAGUAUCAUCAGAGACCCCUUUCUUCGGAGACCCUCACCAAAAUCUCAUCAGAAACUCGUUCAUGGGAGACCUCAACUUGUCAUCUGAUACCCUCAAGAUUUUCAUUGGAGACCCCAAGCUUUUCAUUGGAGCCUACAUAUUUUUAUUGGAGACCCCAAGUUUUCGUCAAAGCCUCAACAUUUUCAUCGGAGACCCGUAAAUAUUCUCCCAGAACCCCAAAUGAAAGUCUUGGGGUCUCCGAAUGAAAAGCUUGUGGUCUCUAUAAUGAAAAACUUUGGGUCUCCAAUGAAAUUCUGAGUGUAUCCAUUGAAAAUCUGGGGGUUUCCGAUGAAAAGCUUUGAACCUCCAAUGACAAGGUCUGGGUAUCCAAUGAAAAUCAGGUUGUCUCAAAAGAAAAGCUUAAAGUCUCAAUUAUAAAAGUUGGGCAUCUCCGAUUAGAAAAAAACUGGAGUUGUCAAAAAAAAA